rnacentral:rRNA from 1 species
CAGUCGCCGCGGUAAUACAGAGGGUACAAGCGUUAAUCGGAAUUACUGGGCGUAAAGCGCGCGUAGGUGGUUUGUUAAGUUGGAUGUGAAAUCCCCGGGCUCAACCUGGGAACUGCAUCCAAAACUGGCAAGCUAGAGUAUGGUAGAGGGUGGUGGAAUUUCCUGUGUAGCGGUGAAAUGCGUAGAUAUAGGAAGGAACACCAGUGGCGAAGGCGACCACCUGGACUGAUACUGACACUGAGGUGCGAAAGCGUGGGGAGCAAACAGGAUUAGAUACCCCGGUAGUCCCUGUCUCUUAUAC